rnacentral:rRNA from 1 species
UACGGAGGGGGCUAGCGUUGUUCGGAAUUACUGGGCGUAAAGCGUACGUAGGCGGCUUUGUAAGUUAGAGGUGAAAGCCCGGGGCUCAACUCCGGAAUUGCCUUUAAGACUGCAUCGCUAGAAUCGUGGAGAGGUAAGUGGAAUUCCGAGUGUAGAGGUGAAAUUCGUAGAUAUUCGGAAGAACACCAGUGGCGAAGGCGACUUACUGGACACGUAUUGACGCUGAGG